rnacentral:rRNA from 1 species
CCCCUAGAUGUUCUGGGCCGCACGCGCGCUACACUGAACAGUUCAACAAGUCUUAACCUUGGCCGAUAGGUCUGGGUAAUCUUUGAACGCUGUUCGUGAUUGGGAUAGACCUUUGCAAUUAUGGGUCUUCAACGAGGAAUUCCUAGUAAACGCAAGUCAUCAGCUUGCAUUGAUUACGUCCCUGCUCUUUGUACACACCGCCCGUCGCACCUACCGAUUGAAUGGUCCGGUGAAAUCUCGGGACGGCGGCUUGGUCGCUUGCGUCCGACUGCUGAAACUUGAUUAAACCAUAUCAUUUAGAGGAAGGUGAANUCGUAACA